AUUGAACGCUGGCGGCAUGCCUUACACAUGCAAGUCGAACGGCAGCACGGGAGCAAUCCUGGUGGCGAGUGGCGAACGGGUGAGUAAAGUAUCGGAACGUGCCCAGUCGUGGGGGAUAACGUAGCGAAAGUUACGCUAAUACCGCAUACGAUCUAUGGAUGAAAGCGGGGGAUCGCAUGACCUCGCGCGAUUGGAGCGGCCGAUAUCAGAUGAGGUAGUUGGGGGGGUAAAGGCUCACAAAGCCGACGAUCUGUAGCUGGUCUGAGAGGACGACCAGCCACACUGGGACUGAGACACGGCCCAGACUCCUACGGGAGGUAGCAGUGGGGAAUUUUGGACAAUGGGCGAAAGCCUGAUCCAGCCAUGCCGCGUGCAGGAUGAAGGCCUUCGGGUUGUAAACUGCUUUUGUACGGAACGAAAAGGUUUGGCCUAAUAAGCUGAGCUCAUGACGGUACCGUAAGAAUAAGCACCGGCUAACUACGUGCCAGCAGCCGCCGUAA
rnacentral:rRNA from 1 species